rnacentral:ncRNA from 1 species
AGAAAAGCGUUGAGAAGGAAAAGUAAAUUGGACAAGCAUUUAAUAGAGAGCCUCUGCUGGUGGAAAUGAGGUAAAUGAACCCUUUUGAAAAUGACCUUUGAGCUUCGUACCGAAAGCUUUGGCAAGUAGGCUACGACGAGAUGGUACUCGUUACAACAGCAGCAGUAUCUCUCAUAUGUGGACGUACUGAUUGAGGCAAAUAGUUUGAGCUAUUUGUAAAUAUAGGUGGUAACACGGGUAUACUCGUCCUAAUC